AAGGCUGAGGCCUGGGUCACUGGGCACAUGCGUCCACCCCUCCUCAGGGACAAGGGGCAGGAGGGCGUGGCAGCGGGCCGCAGGGGCCACCAAGAUCGGUGCUGCCUCCAGCUCUGACCUGGUGCCCUACACAGAUGCCAGCAGCCCAGACAG